UGGGGAAUAUUGGACAAUGGGCGAAAGCUGAUCCAGCCAUGCCGCGUGUGUGAAGAAGGUCUUCGGAUUGUAAAGCACUUUAAGUUGGGAGGAAGGGCAUUUACCUAAUACGUAAGUGUUUUGACGUUACCGACAGAAUAAGCACCGGCUAACUCUGUG
rnacentral:rRNA from 1 species